CCUACGGGUGGCAGCAGUGAGGAAUAUUGGUCAAUGGACGAGAGUCUGAACCAGCCAAGCAGCGUGAAGGAUGACUGCCCUAUGGGUUGUAAACUGCUUUUAUAUGGGAAUAAAAUGUUCCACGUGUAGGAGUUUGUAUGUAUCAUAUGAAUAAGGAUCGGCUAACUCCGUGCCAGCAGCCGCGGUAAUACGGAGGAUCCGAGCGUUAUCCGGAUUUAUUGGGUUUAAAGGGAGCGUAGGUGGACUGUUAAGUCAGUUGUGAAAGUUUGCGGCUCAACUGUAAAAUUGCAUGUGAAACUGGCAGUCUAGAGUACAGUUGAGGUAGGCGGAAUGCGUGGUGUAGCGGGGAAAUGCUUAGAGAUCAUGCAGAACUCCGAUUGCGAAGGCAGCUUAC
rnacentral:rRNA from 1 species